rnacentral:rRNA from 1 species
AGAGUUUGAUCCUGGCUCAGGAUGAACGCUAGCGGUUUGCCUAACACAUGCAAGUUGGACGGCGCCAUGCCUCUCGGGGGAUGGCGCAGUGGCGGACGGGUGAGGAGCGCGUAAGGACCUGCCCCUGGGAGGGGGAUAACAGCUGGAAACGGCUGCUAAUACCCCAUAGCCUGAGGAGGGAAAGGAGAGAUCCGCCCAGGGAGGGGCUUGCGUCUGAUUAGCUAGUUGGGGGGGGUAAUAGCCUCCCAAGGCAACGAUCAGUAGCUGGUCUGAGAGGAUGAUCAGCCACACUGGGACUGAGACACGGCCCAGACUCCUACGGGAGGCAGCAGUGAGGAAUCUUCCGCAAUGGGCGAAAGCCUGACGGGGCAAUGCCGCGUGGAGGAUGAAGGCCCAAUGGGUCGUAAACUCCUUUAGAUCAGAGACGAAGAGAUGACGGUACCUGAAGAACUAAGCAUCGGCUAAACCCCGUGCCAGCAGCCGCGGUAAGACGGGGGAUGCGAGCGUUAUUCGGAAUGAUUGGGCGUAAAGGGUCCGCAGGUGGCCCGGUCAGUCCGCUGUCAAAGCCUGGGGCUCAACCCUGGAGAGGCGGCGGAGACCACCGGGCUCGAGUCCGGUAGGGGCAGAGGGAAUUCCCGGUGGAGCGGUGAAAUGCGUAGAGAUCGGGAAGAACGCCAAGGGCGAAGGCACUCUGCUAGGCCUGAUUUCGCGACUGACACUCAGGGACGAGAGCCAGGGGAGCGAAUGGGAUUAGAUACCCCAGUAGUCC